UACGAAGGGGGCUAGCGUUGUUCGGAUUUACUGGGCGUAAAGCGCACGUAGGCGGGUCUUUAAGUCAGAGGUGAAAUCCCAAGGCUCAACCUUGGAACUGCCUUUGAUACUGGGGAUCUUGAGUCCGGGAGAGGUGAGUGGAACUGCGAGUGUAGAGGUGAAAUUCGUAGAUAUUCGCAAGAACACCAGUGGCGAAGGCGGCUCACUGGCCCGGUACUGACGCUGAGGUGCGAAAGCGUGGGGAGCAAACAGG
rnacentral:rRNA from 1 species